GUAGGUUAGUGUAGAGGUUAGUGUAAGGGUCAGUAUAGGAAUUGUGUAGGUUAGUGUAAGGGUCAGUAUAGGAAUUGAGUAGGUUAGUGUAGAGGUUAGUGUAAGGGACAGUAUAGGAAUUGUGUAGGUUAGUGUAGUGGUCAAUAUAGCAAUUGUGUAGGUUAGUGUAGAGGUUAGUGUAAGGGUCAGUAUAGGAAUUGUGUAGGUUAGUGUAGAGGUUAGUGUAAGGGUCAGUAUAGGAAUUGUGUAGGUUAGUGUAGAGGUUAGUGUAAGGGACAGUAUAGGAAUUGUGUAGCUUAGUGUAGUGGUCAAUAUAGCAAUUGUGUAGGUUAGUGUAGAGGUUAGUGUAAGGGUCAGUAUAGGAAUUGUGUAGGUUAGUGUAAGGGUCAGUAUAGGAAUUGAGUAGGUUAGUGUAGAGGUUAGUGUAAGGGACAGUAUAGGAAUUGUGUAGCUUAGUGUAGUGGUCAAUAUAGCAAUUGUGUAGGUUAGUGUAGAGGUUAGUGUAAGGGUCAGUAUAGGAAUUGUGUAGGUUAGUGUAAGGGUCAGUAUAGGAAUGAGAUAGGUCAGUAUAGGAAUCAGGCUGGUCAGUACUAUUGUAGGAAGGGAAGGGACUCGGGAGUGCGAAAAGUCCGCAGGUUAGGGGGCGCAAAUUACUUGCCUUGCCCCGACGCUGACAACACAGGCUACGCCACUACCUUUAGGUUAGUUAUACCGAGGACUUCUUUGUGAACCGUCCUUGCCCAUUGUAAUAUGGCCGCUAUGUAAUCAACAAUGAAGAAGUCACAGAUUCCUCAUGAUUGCUGCUUUGUGUUACCUAAGAAAUAAACCACUACAGACAGGCUGUGCGGCUGCAGAGCAGCGAAGUCAUCGGGGUAAUGUCAUUUUUUUUUUUCGGUUUCCUGUGUUUUAGUGUGUAGUCAUAUGAAAAAUGUCCUCUCGGCAGCAACGCUUAAAUAAUGCCUUUGGUUGGCUGUUAACAUCACGCCUCCACUGACUACUGUGUGGGAUCCAAGUAAUUUGUAACUGAAAACACUGUAUAAUUACAAUUGUUACAACAGCUAAGCUUUUCUCAAUGGAGGGAUAAAUGUAAUGUACUCUUGGAGUAAUGUUUAUGUAACAAUGGUGACCUCCUGUGGUCAGCACAUGUUUAAGGGAUGCAGGGACCGGAGAAUACUGUUUGUCUGGAUCAGUAAAAGGAUAGCAGGUCUGUGCGUCAUUGCCAGCGUGGUAUGAACAUGUUAUGAAACUUCUGAAUUGUGCUUGGUAGUUUGGAUCUGAAAUGAUGCUUUCUCAUUGUUCUGUGUCAUUGCCUGCUGUAGUUAUGAAAACACUUUCCUUUCUUCUGUUUGAUUACUCUAUUACGUAAGUUAUAAUUUCUGCUGCACUGUAUACCACUGAUAAGCACCAUUUGUAGGUGGCUGGAAAAAAGUCACAGCCCAUCUCCUCAAGACACUUGUUUUAAAGAGACAGUACAGAACAUUUUGGUAGCGUUUUAAGCAGUAUUAAACCCAAUUUAAAAAAAUGUGUUAUGUUGCAGCUAACAAAUUUUUAGGUGUGGUGGGGUGGCUACAUUUGUUUUUCUUUUCACCCAGUAAUUAUGCCAUUUAAAGUGUUACCAAA